rnacentral:rRNA from 1 species
CCUUUUGNUAGCGCGGUGGUCCCACCUGACCCCAUGCCGAACUCAGAAGUGAAACGCCGUAGCGCCGAUGGUAGUGUGGGGUCUCCCCAUGCGAGAGUAGGGAACUGCCAGGCA